ACCCGCUGAAUUUAAGCAUAUUGAUAAGGGUAGGACGAGAAAACAACCGUGAUUCUCACAGUAACUGCGAGUGAAGUGAGAAAAGCCCAACGUUAAAAGCCGUAUCUCUACAGGAUACUGCGUUGUAACGUAUAGAUGUGUUCUCAAGGUGAAAGCUAGUGUCAAAGUUACAUAGAGUGGUACGCCAUAGAGGGUGAGAGCCCCGUGUGAGACACUAGCAUUAAUUUCGCCAAGUAGUCACAAUCUAAGAGUCGUGUUGUUUGGGAAUGCAACACAAAGUAGGUGGUAAACUUCACCUAAGGCUAAAUACAGACACGAGACCGAUAGCAAACAAGUACCGUGAGGGAAAGUUGAAAAGUACUCUGAAAAGACAGUGAAAAGCACGUGAAACUGUUCAUGGGGAAGCAGACGGUAGAAUCGAAGCAUGCUGGUGAUUGCAUCAAAGUGUAUGUAUUCUGUAUGUGCACUUUGGUGUUCCUCACUGGCGUUGCGCGCUGAGCUUGUCGUGUUUUGUGUGUAAGCACUGCAAAUGUACGCCCUAGUUGUCUGUGGAAGGAACUAGACAUUGAAUCAUCGGUGUUAGAACUUCUUCCAAGGCAAUGGUGGGUAUAGGUACAUAACAUGACAAUGGCCAAUAUGAUAGGCGACCAGUAGAAAUGAUUUAGCAGAACUUGUUGCGGUGAAUUGUUAAAUCGCCGUUGUAUUUUUUGUUGAGUUGUCAAGCUGGUCUAUUCUCAGCGAGAUAUGCUGCUGUCUGACCCGUCUUGAAACACGGACCAAGGAGGCUAACGUAUACGCGAGUCAAGGGGAUACGCUUACGCGUUGUAUUUAAAACCCUAUGGCGUAACGAAAGUGAAAAGCGAGAUCUUCAUUCGAGAUGUUAAUGGUGAAGAGCAUCGCUGGCCAGUUGAGUUCAUUGGAACUAUAAUUGAGCAGGAGCGUAUGCGAUAGGACCCGAAAGAUGGUGAACUAUGCCUGAGUAGGGCAAAGUCAGAGGAAACUCUGAUGGAGGCUCGAAGCGGUUCUGACGUGCAAUUCGAUCGUCAAACUUGGGUAUAGGGGCGAAAGACUAAUCGAACCAUCUAGUAGCUGGUUCCCUCCGAAAUAUCCCUCAGGAUAGCUGGAGCCUGAGCCAAAAGCAGUUUCAUCGGGUAGAGCGAAUGAUUAUAGGUAUUGGGAUCAUAACAGAUUCUAACCUCUUCUCAAACUGCGAACCGGUGAUAAAACUGGCGUUGCUUGAUUGAACGCUAAGUUUAGAAUGCUAGGGCUCCAAGUGGGCCGUUUCUGGUAAGCAGAACUGGCGAUGCGGGAUGAACCGAGAGCCAGGUUAAGGUGCCUAAAUAGACGCCAAAGGACACCACUAAAGGAGUUGGUCGAUGAAGACAGCAGGACGGUGGCCCUGAAGGUAGGAAUCCGCUAAGGAGUGUCUAACAACUCACCUGCCGAAUCGACUGGCCCUGAAGAUGGAUGGCGCUAAAGCGUUUUACCGAUACCUGGCCAUCAACAUUAGUGUGUGAUAAAUGUUGAUGGGUAGGAGGGCGCAAUGAUAGCGGCGAAGAGUAUAACGUAAGUUUGCUUGGAGCUGUCAUUGGUGCGGAUCUUGGUGGUAGUAGCAGUUUAUUCAAGUGAAACGCUUGAAGGCCGAAGUGGAGAAGGGUUCCGCGUAAACAUCAUUUGAACGCGGGUUAGUCGGUCCUAAGUGGCAGCUUACGUGCUGAUAUUUAAAGGGGAAGUGCGGUAUGUGUUAAGCAGUAUGUAACAGUACUGUGAGGUGCAUAUUGUUCUCUCAGGCCACGAAAGGGAAUCAGGUUAAUAAUCCUGAACCGAGUCACGGAUAGUUUGCAUAAUGUGUUUUAGUUGUGUGCUUGAUUUCGGUCAAGUAUGCUCUUUAAUGUGUUUUGCAGAUGCAGCGGUAACGCAAACGAACUCAGAGACAUCUUAGGCAGUCCUAGGAAGAGUUAUCUUUUCUGUUUAACGAAAUGACGCCCUGGAAUUGAGUUGCUCAGAGAUAGGGCUGAGAUUUCGGAAGAGCAUCGCACUUUAUGGCGAUGUCUGGUGCGCUGUCUAAGGUCCUUGAAAAUCUGAGGGAGUGAAUGACUUUCGUGCUCGGCCGUACCGUAAUCCGCAACAGGUCUCCAAGGUGAAUAGCCUCUGGCACUAGAACAAUGUGGGUAAGGGAAGUCGGCAAAAUAGAUUCGUAACUUCGGGAUAAGGAUUGGCUCUAAGGGUUGGGCUGGUCGGGCUAUUCACUUAAUUCUGCGUGUGUCUAUUUUUGAGUCCAAAUAGUUGUACACUUCUUCACGGUUGUGUGCUUCUGUUGGGUUUGAAUGUGGAUGUACUAGGUUAAGUGGUUAGCUUGGUGUUGUCUAUUGCGUUACUCACGUAAUGUAGUAGAUUGCAUCCUUGCGGCUUGCUAAGAUCAACCGACUUAGAACUGUCACUGACUAGGGGAAUCCGACUGUUUAAUUAAAACAAAGCAUUGCGAUGGCUGGAAACGGUGUUGACGCAAUGUGAUUUCUGCCCAGUGCUCUGAAUGUCAAAGUGUGGAGACACAACCAAGCGCGGGUAAACGGCGGGUGUAACUAUGACUCUCUCAAGAUAUCCAAAUGCCUCGUCAUCUAAUUAGUGACGCGCAUGAAUGGAUCAACGAGAUUCCCACUGUCCCUACCUACCAUCUAGCGAACCCACAGUCAAGGGAACGGGCUUGACUGAGACAGCGGGGAAAGAAGACCCUGUUGAGCUUGACUCUAGUUUGAUAUGGUGAGGAGACAUGAGAGGUGUAGCAUAGGUGGGAGAUUGAUUAGUUUCGGCUAGUCGUCGAUCCUGAAAUACCACCACUUUCAUUGUUUCCUCACUUAGUCGGUGAUAAGGGAAGUGCCCUGUGGAAGUGUGAACAUUAACAUUGUAUGCCUCUGUGAAAGCAGAGUGUGUAUUAUGUCUUGGUGAGCACGGAAGUAGGUGUCACGAAUAUGAAGUAUUGUAAGGCAAAUGGUGUUAUGGUUAGUAAAUGUGCCUUGGUACGUUUGCUGCUGUGAUACAUUUACUUUUGCUGACCCCAACUACGUUGAUGCAGUGAUGUAUUAGCGUAUGUGUGACCGAUGACAGUGUCAGAUGGGGAGUUUGGCUGGGGCGGUACACCCUCUAAAGUGCAACGAGGGUGUCCAAAGGUGAGCUCACCGUGGGCAGAAAC
rnacentral:rRNA from 1 species